UUUGUAUUACGUGCGGAAAUUGUUACCAUUUUUGAGCCGAAAAUGGUAACAAUUUCGCACGUAAUACAAA
rnacentral:miRNA from 1 species